rnacentral:lncRNA from 1 species
UCACCUUGUUGGAACCCGAAAAGCCACAGUGAUGCCUGUUUUUGCCUAACUUCUUGUUCCCCAAGCAACACCAACUGGGGACUAAUUUACCCGGCUAUGUGAACACAAAGCAGAAAUUGAACACGGAACAGAACUGCUUUGGGAACUGGUAGCAAUGAUCAUAAUUUAAUGUUGGAUGGGAUAUGUCCUAGUACUUUGUUCCAUACAGCAUUCUAGUCUCUGCUAAACUUUUA